rnacentral:rRNA from 1 species
GAAAGAUUCAUCGGAAGAGGAUGGGCAUGCGGCGCAUUAGCUAGACGGCGGGGUAACGGCCCACCGUGGCGACGAUGCGUAGGGGUUCUGAGAGGAAGGUCCCCCACACUGGUACUGAGACACGGACCAGACUCCUACGGGAGGCAGCAGUGAGGAAUAUUGGUCAAUGGGAGAGAUCCUGAACCAGCCAAGCCGCGUGAGGGAAGACGGCCCUAUGGGUUGUAAACCUCUUUUGUCGGAGAACAAAACCCGGGACGUGUCCCGGACUGCGUGUAUCCGAAGAAAAAGCAUCGGCUAACUCCGUGCCAGCAGCCGCGGUAAUACGGAGGAUGCGAGCGUUAUCCGGAUUUAUUGGGUUUAAAGGGUGCGUAGGCGGUCCGUUAAGUCAGCGGUAAAAUUGCGGGGCUCAACCCCGUCGAGCCGUUGAAACUGGCAGACUUGAGUUGGCGAGAAGUACGCGGAAUGCGCGGUGUAGCGGUGAAAUGCAUAGAUAUCGCGCAGAACUCCGAUUGCGAAGGCAGCGUACCGGCGCCAGACUGACGCUGAGGCACGAAAGCGUGGGGAUCGAACAGGAUUAGAUACCCUGGUAGUCCACGCAGUAAACGAUGAAUGCU